CACGAAGGGGGCUAGCGUUGCUCGGAAUCACUGGGCGUAAAGGGUGCGUAGGCGGGUUUUUAAGUCAGGGGUGAAAUCCUGGAGCUCAACUCCAGAACUGCCUUUGAUACUGAAGAUCUUGAGUCCGGGAGAGGUGAGUGGAACUGCGAGUGUAGAGGUGAAAUUCGUAGAUAUUCGCAAGAACACCAGUGGCGAAGGCGGCUCACUGGCCCGGUACUGACGCUGAGGCACGAAAGCGUGGGGAGCAAACAGG
rnacentral:rRNA from 1 species